rnacentral:rRNA from 1 species
AUGGAGCACCCCCCAUGCUGGGCUUCGUUUAUUCCUGGCCACCAUUCUCCCGCCAACGGUCGGAGGAUCUGCUCAUCCCACAGUUCUUCCCCACCACAAAAUUCGGCGGGCGCAUUCCGGACGACGGCUGGCCGGACUUGGAGGACUCCGAGUGCGGCGUGUUGGACUGCCGGCAUGGCCGGGGACUAUGGUAAACCCAUGCCGCUCAUCGUUUGGGACCCCAUGACAGGCCGCCGGACCAAGCUGGGAGCGCCCAAAGGAUGCAAUAUGCCCUUGGACACCGACUUCGGUGGAGCCGCCGUGCUCUGUGCCGUGGCAGGAUGUGACCACCGGGCGUGCCAUCAGGGCCCCUUCCGGGUUGUCUUCUUCGGCAUGAGCACGGAUGAUGGUGCUCAUGGUAUUAUACACGUGCGGGUGUCCUCGGUGGACACGGGUGAGUGGAGCGAGCCGUGCCCUGGUCUUGAUCUUGGCGUCGAAUCAUUCAUCACGCCAGUACCCCCUGUCUUCAUCCAAGACACACUUUACUUUACACAUAAUAUUGGUGAACAUGACGAUCAAGCAGGAAUUCUCAAAUACAACUUGGGCUCUAAUUGCUUAUCGCGGAUUGAUGCGCCACGCGCAUGGCCUCUCAGGGACGAUUUCGCCAUCCUCAUGGCCAUGGAGGACGGCAGUUUGGGUUUUGCACAGGUGCAUAGGUUAACCUUUUACCUGUGGACAAGACAGACGGGUUACGAUGGAGUUGCAUCAUGGACUCAGCCUAGAGUCAUCGAUCUCAAGAACCUUCUUCCCAUCCAAAAUCCCGAUAAAAGACUUAGAUUGAUUGGGUCCGUGGAAGGCAGUGAUAUCGUUUUCGUUACCACAGAUCUUGGCGUCUACCAGAUUAAUAUAAAGUCGCUACAGUGGAAGAAGCUAUGGAAGAGAGAAAAUUCUAUAGGUUGA